ensembl:lncRNA novel transcript
GGAGAGAGCCCCAGCAGGCCUGGUUGCAGAGAGGGGCCCGAGGGUUUAAAGGGCCAUGGUUGAGUUUCUACCUGGCUCUUCCCAACCAAGGCCAACUGUGACGACUCUACACAAGACAUCAAGGCGGACCAGGAUUGGAGCAGAAGUCCAGACACCUAGCUUAAAUGGAGUCAGAAAGAACCACUAGUCAAGGCAUACAAGAAAGAAACUUAAUAAGAGUGUGAGCAGCUGCAUAGUACACACAGCCUUGGAGAAAGAAGCCCCUCAAUGGAACAUGAUGGAACUUUGAAUGGGCCUGGUUCCCAGGUGUUCCCAGUACUCAACUUCGGAGCCUCCAGCUUUAACCCACUAUGGAAACAAUCACCUGUAAUGGAUCAGGGGACUCCUCAACCACCUUCUACCUUAUGGGCAUCCCCUCUCUGCCAAAAUCCCUUUUCCUUCCUAUUUUCUUUGUCUUUCUCCUCCUCUACGUGCUCAUCCUGAUGGGUAAUACCUUUAUCCUGGUGGCUGUGGUGGCCAAGCCCAGCCUCCACAAGCCCAUGUACUUCUUCCUGAUAAACCUCUCCACCUUGGACAUUCUUGUUACCACAACCACUGUCCCCAAGAUGCUGUCCCUGUUCUUGUUUGGGGACAGCUUCCUCAGCUUCCCUGCCUGCUUCCUGCAGAUGUACCUGUUCCACAGCUUCUCCUGCUCAGAAGCCUUCAUCCUGGUGGUCAUGGCCUAUGACCGCUAUGUGGCUAUCUGCCGCCCACUGCACUACCCUGUCCUCAUGACCCCUCAGACCAACACUGUCUUGACAACCAGUGCCUGGCUCACUGCCCUCCUCCUGCCCAUUCCAGCAGUGGUACAGACCUCCCAGAUGGCAUUUGACAUCAUUGUCCACAUCUACCACUGCUUCUGUGACCACCUGGCUGUGGUCCAGGCCUCCUGCUCUGACACCACCCCCAGACCUUCAUGGGCUUCUGCAUCGCCAUGGUGGUGUCCUUCCUCCCCCUUCUGCUGGUGCUUCUCUCCUAUGCCCACAUCUUGACCUCAGUGCUUUGCAUCAACUGCCAAGAAGGACGCUCCAAAGCCUUCUCCACCUGCAGCUCCCACCUCCUGGUGGUGGGCACCUACUAUUCAUCCAUUGCCAUAGCCUAUGUGGCCUACAGGGCUGACCUGCCCCUAGACUUCCACGUCAUGGGCAAUGUGGUAUAUGCCAUUCUCACACCUGUUCUCAACCCUGUCAUCUACAAACUGAGGAACAAGGAUGUCAAAGCAGCCAUCACCAAGAUUGCAUGUCCCCAGGAGCCAAAGAAUGCUAGGAAACCCUGAUUCAAAGAAAUAACUUCAUCUUCUCUCAUAAACAUCAAUAACAUAGAGGGAAAAGUGGAAAAUUUAGAAAGCCCAGUAGUUAGAACACUCAUUCUCAAAAUAUUGUCCUAGGUAGUCCUCCAUUAUAAUAAAAUGAUAAUUUUUUUCUUAAUUCAUAGAAAAAAGAGUAGGAUUUUUAAAUUCAAUUUUAAGGUGUGAACCCCAAAUUUCACAAGACUGUGAAUAUAAUUGAGGUCACAUUACCAUUAAUUCAAACAGUUUUGAUUCUUGCAGUUUCCAAGUAUUUGAUUAGGAAGAAACUCUGUCUUUUCCCUUGGAUCUUUUCUUUCAAUGUUUCUGAAAAUCCCUUGCAUUGCCAGCUAUUAGAUAUGAAUUAUUCUUGCCCUUUUUGUUGAAAUAGCAACUUAGAUAGAAAUAUUCCUCAAUGGAAAAACUCUGAAACUGCUCCCAUCUCAAUCCUUGUUGCUUGAAAAUUCACUGCCACCACUGAUUUUCAAUGCCAGACACACAGGAAAUUUGCCUCUGCUAUCUAGACCCGCAUGAUGCCCUAGAAGCAGAGCAUGCCCCUCACCCAGCUUAUGCUCAGGCAAGCAGUGUCCCUUAGCACACCUGUUU